UACGGGAGGCAGCAGUGGGGAAUCUUGGACAAUGGGCGCAAGCCUGAUCCAGCCAUGCCGCGUGAGUGAUGAAGGCCCUAGGGUCGUAAAGCUCUUUCGCCAGGGAUGAUAAUGACAGUACCUGGUAAAGAAACCCCGGCUAACUCCGUGCCAGCAGCCGCGGUAAUACGGAGGGGGUUAGCGUUGUUCGGAAUUACUGGGCGUAAAGCGCGCGUAGGCGGAUUGGAAAGUUGGGGGUGAAAUCCCGGGGCUCAACCCCGGAACUGCCUCCAAAACUCCCAGUCUUGAGUUCGAGAGAGGUGAGUGGAACUCCGAGUGUAGAGGUGAAAUUCGUAGAUAUUCGGAAGAACACCAGUGGCGAAGGCGGCUCACUGGCUCGAUACUGACGCUGAGGUGCGAAAGUGUGGGGAGCAAACAGGAUUAGAUACCCUGGUAGUCCACACCGUAAACGAUGAAUGCCAGUCGUCGGGUAGCAUGCUACUCGGUGACACACCUAACGGAUUAAGCAUUCCGCCUGGGGAGUACGGUCGCAAGAUUAAAACUCAAAGGAAUUGACGG
rnacentral:rRNA from 1 species